rnacentral:rRNA from 1 species
GACGGGGACCCGCACAAGCAGCGGAGCAUGUGGUUUAAUUCGAAGCAACGCGAAGAACCUUACCAGGUCUUGACAUCCCUCUGAAAGCUUGGGUAAUGCCGAGCCCCUCUUCGGAGCAGAGGAGACAGGUGGUGCAUGGUUGUCGUCAGCUCGUGUCGUGAGAUGUUGGGUUAAGUCCCGCAACGAGCGCAACCCUUGCCUUUAGUUGCCAGCAGUAAGAUGGGCACUCUAGAGGGACUGCCGGGGACAACUCGGAGGAAGGUGGGGAUGACGUCAAAUCAUCAUGCCCCUUAUGAUCUGGGCUACACACGUGCUACAAUGGUCGGUACAAAGAGAAGCUAAGCCGCGAGGCAGCGCGAAACUCAAAAGCCGAUCCCAGUUCGGACUGCAGGCUGCAACUCGCCUGCACGAAGUCGGAGUUGCUAGUAAUCGUGAAUCAGAACGUCACGGUGAAUGCGUUCCCGGGUCUUGUACACACCGCCCGUCACACCAUGGAAGUUGGGGGCGCCCGAAGGGUGAUCUAGGUUUACCUAAGUAGAAACCAAGAAAAGG